rnacentral:rRNA from 1 species
CCUACGGGAGGCAGCAGUGGGGAAUAUUGCACAAUGGGGGAAACCCUGCUGCAGCGACGCCGCGUGAGUGAAGAAGUAUUUCGGUAUGUAAAGCUCUAUCAGCAGGGAAGAAAAUGACGGUACCUGAUUAAGAAGCCCCGGCUAACUACGUGCCAGCAGCCGCGGUAAUACGUAGGGGGCAAGCGUUAUCCGGAUUUACUGGGUGUAAAGGGAGCGUAGACGGCAGCACAAGUCUGGAGUGAAAUGCCGGGGCUUAACCCCGGAACUGCUUUGGAAACUGUGCAGCUAGAGGGCAGGAGAGGUAAGUGGAAUUCCUAGUGUAGCGGUGAAAUGCGUAGAUAUUAGGAGGAACACCAGUGGCGAAGGCGGCUGACUGGACUGUAACUGACGUUGAGGCUCGAAAGCGUGGGGAGCAAACAGGAUUAGAUACCCCAGUAGUG